GCGCCAGUUCUGAGGUUUUUUUCCGAGCCUGAAGUGGAUUUCCAUCUUCAAAGAGAAGCCAAAGUUGUUUUGACGGGCGCCAGGCAAUGAAGAGCUGGAGUGGAUGAGAGAGAAUACAAGUGGUUACGGUUCUUCUACAGCAUGAUUAAUGGUCUCCAUGUCCCACCAAAAACAACACUGUGAUCCCGGGGGAGCCGGACCCACCAUGGCCCUGACCAGGAUGAAGAUGCAGAAGCACACCAGUGUCGAGAUUCUGAACUCCUCGGUUCGAAACUUGGUGUUGGCACCGGUCGGCUGGGCGCCAUCUAACAGGCAUAAUCGGCAGUGCCUGCAGGGAGGGAUGACCGGAAUAUGUGGGUGUGGUCUUCAAACGCUGUGUAAGGACCCUGAUUGGUGGAUAGAGGCGCCUGUGCAGAGUGCAUGGGUGGAAAAGGUUUCCAGUCGGAGGAGGCGUGAGCAGCAAUAUACCCACCUCGACUGCAAAAAAUCAGGGAUCCACCAGCAGUGGAAGACAAGUUG